AACCCUCGCCCUUNGUUGCCAGCAUUUAGUUGGGCACUCUAAGGGGNCUGCCGGUGAUAAGCCGAGAGGAAGGUGGGGAUGACGUCAAGUCCUCAUGGCCCUUACGGGCUGGGCUACNCACGUGCUACAAUGGUGGUGACAGUGGGCAGCGAGACAGCGAUGUCGAGCUAAUCUCCAAAAGCCAUCUCAGUUCGGAUUGCACUCUGCAACUCGAGUGCANGNAGUUGGAAUCGCUAGUAAUCGCAGAUCAGCAUGNUGCGGUGAAUACGUUCCCGGGCCUUGUACACACCGCCAUGGGAGUUGGUUUUNCCNCGAAGGU
rnacentral:rRNA from 1 species